CAACUUUGUUAAAGCCACACUUCUCAAACCAUGUAAUAAUUCAUUUAGUCAUAUCUCAUUCUACCCUUAUACUCUAUCAUCAUCUUCCAUGAGGCAGCCCAUCCUUGAUGUCAAACCAUCUCAUUUGCCCUAGACGCUAUCUGAAAGUGUGGAGGGUAGCCCCGUUGAGAUUGUUCAAGAUUGUAGAGGGCUUGUUGAGGUUUUGCUCAAAUAAGAAGAGUCAAUUAUAUUUGCUAGAGAAUACCAAAGAAUUUGUCAAAUUACAUCAUUCCGAGGAAGAAGAUUUGCUGGUCGUUUACAAUAUCCAACAAGGGAAUUAUAUAACCUCACUCAAAGAGUAUCAAUCCAUUCAUCUUGUUAGCUCUUUAGUAAUUUUUAUAGAACAAUAAAGCCAAUUUAUUAGCACUAAAAUUGCUACAAGUCAGUGACUUGAUACUAUUUUUGGAUAUUAGGUCUUUAGACCACAAAAAAAAGUUCACUCAAAAAGCAAGGGAGCAUGAAUGUCACAGCAAAUAAAUAUCACAAUCCUAAUUUGCAAGUAGCACGUGACAAUGUGCCAUUGAACAGGUGUGCCUUUUGCUACAGUGAUCUGAUUUUGAAUCAUCAUGUAAUAAGCAUUAGUUCUUGACACAUGUUUUCAUCAUGCAUUAUUUCUUAGGGUUUAGUUACAUGCAUAGAGCUGGUUAAUCAAAAAUCACAAGCUUGAAUUACCCAGAUAGCAAGACAAAAUUUCAAAGAGGUACUAAAUUCGUUUGGGAAUUGCUUACAAACAAUAUACAACACAAGAAGGAUGUUGGAAGUGGAUGCCGAGUCCAUCUGUGCUCACAUGUACAAGGCAAAAUGGGAACAAAGAAGGAAGCUUUACGAAGCUGCAGAUUCAAUCAAGAAUGUUAUGGAAUUUGUGCUUCAAAAUUCUCUAACUAAGAUUGAAGCCACUCUCCUGGACUCUUCAGAUUCCAAUGAAGUACCUAAGCAUGAAGAUGAAGUUAUUCAGCUUGAGAGGUAUCAUCUACAGAAACUUGUCGUCAAAGACGAGGACUUGUUGUGGUGCGACUGUGUAUGUGUUCACAUGAAGGACAAAAUGGACAGCACUCUUUGGCAUAAAUUGCCACCAACUAUAUUAGAAUUGGUGUUUGUGCGGCUAAUUCUCCAUCAAAUUUUCAAGUGGUUGCUAGAAUCAUGUGGUUGAUACCAGACGCUUUGAAACGUAGCCGAGGUAAUUGAAGAUGGCUAGUGCUUCAAGAGAACAUGCAACUAGUUCUUAAGAUAAUAUACUGGAUUUGAAGCUAGUAUGGUGAUUAUGCACCCAUAGCAAUCAAUCGAUUCCUUUUUAUAAAGGUUUCAGGAGAGCUGAUAUCUCAGUAAAAUACCUUUUUUCUGUUUUUUUCAUGCAUGUAAGUGGGAUUAUCAACACUGAAUACAAGCAGUUUGGAUUCUCUACAUGGAUGUAUUCAAACAUCCAUGACAUUUCAUUGUUCUUUGGUUCAGAAUGCUUGGAUAUGUGUCAGUGAGCCACGAGCACUUACUCAAGUUUGCGUGUCAUUUGAUUUUCAAGACUCUGGAUCCUCAAUGGAAUAGCAGCUUUUUUUCACCAAGUAGAAACUAGUUCCACCCCAACACAAGAAGAAAGAGAAUAAAUUACUCAUUUGGUGAAACACACUUCUAUUGCUGUACAAACAAUUAUAGACCUCCCAAUUCGUGACCUGCAUCUAAUUGUGGAUCCUUCAAAAAAUACUACACAGUAUUCAUGUGUAGAAAAUUACAAUUGAUUGCAAUUUAAUGCACUAGAGAGAUGUCCUCUAUAAUGUUGGUUAUUAGGCUUGUUUGGAGCAUAAUAUUGUGGUAAUGUCAAUUCUAAUAAAUUUGAUUGUAUUUUUACUUA